rnacentral:pre_miRNA from 1 species
UUUCUACUCCCUCCGUCCGAAAAUACUUGUCAUCAAAAUGGAUAAAAAGAGAUGUAUCUAAAACUAAAAUACGUCUAGAUACAUUUCCUUUUAUCCAUUUUUAUGACAAGUAUUUCCGGAUGGAGGGAGUAUUUG